rnacentral:lncRNA from 1 species
GGAGUUGUGCCUAGCAAUCCUACAGGUGAAAUCAACCCCUCCCAUCUCAUCCAUCCAUCUGCUAUCUCCUCUCAUCUCAUCCGUCAAUUUAUUUCGCUGUCCUCCUCGAUCCACCUAUUCCAACGAUUAUUAUCCUCUCCACCGCCGUCCACGCGCGAUCACUCCGCCCUCGCCAUCUCUGCCUCGCACCCCGCCUCCGCCGCUUUCAAUCCAUCGCGCAUCCGCCACCGCGCAUCCAUCCAUCCAUCCGCGCCGGAGGUUUCGCUGGAGCUGUCGCAUCUCCCACUCUUCCCCUCCCCGCUGUAUAUCCUCCUCACUCCAACACUGCGCCGGGCACCGGUCCUCCUCGCGGUCUCCGCCGUCGCCGUCCAUCUUCCACAAGUGGUCACCGCCGCUGCCUCCUCCACUCCGCCUGCAUCACCGUUCAAUCACGGCGCUGCCACGACACAAUUCGACCUCAACCACGGCGCUGCCUCCUGCGCUCCCGCCACUCAAUCUGAUAGCUGGUUCGUUGGACAUGAUUUGUUCCUUCACAUGAUCUAUGUGUUGCCCAAGCUCCAGAUAUCACGGUAUAAUGCUUCUGCUCUGGUCCUAAGGCCUGACUAUUGCUGCCUAUGGUGAGUUCUAUUACAGAAAAAAAAAUUAAGUGUUUUGGAAGACUACAAGGACCAUGGAUGCCAUAUGUUAUUGGGGCUUAUCCCAUAGUAAAAAUGUAAACAAGAGCUCCGGCAAGGUCAGUUGUCACUGAUUUCUCUUCCACGAUUUUGCUGCACUUGCA